rnacentral:rRNA from 1 species
GGGAUACCCAGAGGAAACUUUGGCUAAUACCGGAUAACAACAGAUGAGGCAUCUCAACUGUUUGAAAGGCCCUUAUGGGGUCACUAAAAGAUGGACCUGCGGCGCAUUAGCUAGUGGUGAGAUAACAGCCCACCAAGGCGAGGAUGCGUAGCCGACCUGGGAGGGUGAUCGGCCACAUUGGAACUGAGACACGGUCCAAACUCCUACGGGAGGCAGCAGUAAGGAGUUUUCGGCAAUGGGGGAAACCCUGACCGAGCAACGCCGCGUGAGCGAAUGACGGCCCUAUGGGUUGUAAAGCUCUGGUUGUGGAGGGACGAACUGUAAGCUUAGGAAAUGAAGCUUACCUGACGGUACCUUACCAGAAAGCCACGGCUAACUACGUGCCAGCCGCCGC